rnacentral:rRNA from 1 species
UGCUGCAUGAGAAUAGAUGUGUGGUAAAUACUGCCCGGUGCCAUAUGGUAAACGGCGGCGUAAGGUUUUAAAGUAGCGAAAUUCCUUGCCUUUUAAUUGUAGGCCUCAUGAAGUAACAACGAGGGGGGGACUGUCUCUAAGGCUCAAUCUGAAUUAGGACUUAAAGUAAAAUUGCUUUAAUAGUCACAGAAGACGAUAAGACCCUAUGCAGCUUGUUUGAACGAAUGUAGCAUUAGCUGCAGGGUUUUUUGGUUGGGGCAACUGAAGAAUAAGCAAAACUUCUUCUAUUAGUAGCUUACUGACUGGUGGCGAUCUAAAGUUUUUAAUCAUAGGAAAAAGCUACGCUAGGGAUAACAGCGCACUUUUAGGCUGGAGACCAUAUCGUGCCUAAAGACAGCGACCUCGAUGUUGAAUCAAAAUAAAGGCAGGGUGCAGCAGCUUUGCUAUUAAGCCUGUUCGUCUUUUAAAAUUUU